rnacentral:rRNA from 1 species
CGGUGUUUAACUGGCGUGAUGUGGGACGUCCUACCGGUGGGCUUAGCCUCGCGAGGGGCGGCCCAACUAAUAUCCCGUCGCGGUGCUCUUUACUGAGUGUCGAGUCGGGCCGGUACGUUUACUUUGAACAAAUUAGAGUGCUUAAAGCAGGCUAUCCUCGCCUGAAUACUGCGUGCAUGGAAUAAUGGAAUAGGACCUCGGUUCUAUUUUGUUGGUUUUCGGAACCCCGAGGUAAUGAUUAAUAGGGACAGAUGGGGGCAUUCGUAUUGCGACGUUAGAGGUGAAAUUCUUGGAUCGUCGCAAGACGGACAGAAGCGAAAGCAUUUGCCAAAAAUGUUUUCAUUAAUCAAGAACGAAAGUUAGAGGUUCGAAGGCGAUCAGAUACCGCCCUAGUUCUAACCAUAAACGAUGCCAGCUAGCGAUCCGCCGAAGUUCCUCCGAUGACUCGGCGGGCAGCUUCCGGGAAACCAAAGCUUUUGGGUUCCGGGGGAAGUAUGGUUGCAAAGCUGAAACUUAAAGGAAUUGACGGAAGGGCACCACCAGGAGUGGAGCCUGCGGCUUAAUUUGACUCAACACGGGAAACCUCACCAGGCCCAGACACCGGAAGGAUUGACAGAUUGAUAGCUCUUUCUUGAUUCGGUGGGUGGUGGUGCAUGGGCCGUUCUUAGUUGGUGGAGCGAUCUGUCUGGUUAAUUCCGAUAACGAACGAGACUCUAGCCUGCUAAAUAGGCGUACCUUAUGGUAUCGCGAAGGCCCCCGGCUUCGGCCGGUGGGUUUUUACUACCAACGUACAAACAAAUCUUCUUAGAGGGACAGGCGG